UACGAAGGGGGCUAGCGUUGCUCGGAAUCACUGGGCGUAAAGCGCACGUAGGCGGAUCUUUAAGUCAGAGGUGAAAUCCUGGAGCUCAACUCCAGAACUGCCUUUGAUACUGGGGAUCUUGAGUCCGGGAGAGGUGAGUGGAACUGCGAGUGUAGAGGUGAAAUUCGUAGAUAUUCGGAAGAACACCAGUGGCGAAGGCGGCUCACUGGUCCGGUACUGACGCUGAGGUGCGAAAGCGUGGGGAGCAAACAGG
rnacentral:rRNA from 1 species